rnacentral:lncRNA from 1 species
UGUUAGUGUGAGUUUUGUCGAGUCUAUAGUGCAGGGAAUGACAGUGUGUCUAUCGGGGUUCGAUUAUGCUAGCUACUAGGCCUACUAAUCUAAAGCAAAAACAAUGGCCCUCUCCAAUACACAUAUGAAUCGAGACGCAGGGAGAUGCACGGGUGGAGAGGGCGAGAUGCCCCGCCAGAUUAACUGCUGAAUACAUGUCUGCUUUUUAGCCAAGGCCCCGGAGUGAUCACUGGUGCUUGAAAUAACACUGGAAUCAACAAACUGGAAUUGGACCACACAACAAAGGCCCGAGCUCAUUACCUUCUGACACAUAAUAAUCACGAGUGCUAUAUAUAGCCAAACAAUGAGCAGCACUGGACGUUUAAGAUGCGCCUCUUGAUGCAGUGGAAAGUGAUCAUAGACUUACAUAACAUUCUAUAUCGCAAAACAUUACCAUAAUCAAUAAUGCCAAUACAAUGUUAGCAUCUUGUUUUUAUUUUGACUUGUGCAAUGUUCUACGAAUCUCUCAUAAACACAACGAUUAACUAUUGCAAAACGAUUCUCUAGCCUAUUGAGAGAUUGGCUAUAUGACAGGCCUAUGGCGUCGUGUUCUGGGCGUAGGUGUUCAUAUUGUAAGUAUUUUCACUUUGCUAUAUUUGUUUUGCAGAUCUACAACAAUCUGUCUUUUCAAUAAGAUAACAACACCAAUCAUAAUAUCAAUAACAAUUGGCUAACUAUGACUACGAUAAUAACAAUGUUAUACUUGGCUGAAUAGUACAUUAAACAUUUUUAAAUGUGGCCUACUAUUUUUUCCAGAGAGCCCAUGCACCUUCCUUUACGCAUUGUGUUGACAUGUUCGAUCCGGCAUUGUAGUUUUGUCUAGACAAUCCUGUUUACAAUGCGCUGUGGUCCGUUAUCAAAUGCACCAGUGCGUUUAUAGAAAAUCAAAACAACUACAAGGCACCGAGAAAAUAUAAUUCACAAGUUUGAACAAACAAAGAGAGGUAUGUAGCUCGGGGACGGAGGAGGCUGGGACUUGUGAUCUGAUGUCAGCGCAGAGCUCGAGAUCAUUGAAGAGCGCUGAUGAAAAAUGGAAGAGUUACCACUGUUGGCCACAUUGGCUAACAAGAAAAAUCCAACCUUCAGCAGAUGUCGAGGGAAAUAGCCUUCCAUUCGAAAUCAAAUGCACUGUGCAGGGGGAUUAUUUGAGCCUGGCGAAUAUGCAGUCUGCGUCUCAAUACACAUCCCAAUCAACAUGUGGGCACAGAGGGCCUGAAGAGACAAGUCUUCAGGGAGACAUCUCACUCGCCCAGAAACCGCCCAAGACUCCAGACCUCUCCUUCUGUAAAGCAUGGACUACCCGGAUGUCCACUUCCACUGGGGGCUGCAGUGAGACAAAGCUACUGGGAUCUCCUAUAGGACCUACGGUCUUCUGACAGACACCUGCUACAGUACAAGGGAGAACCAUGGCACCACGGUCCUCGGCUCUACCUCUAUUCAUCUGCAGUGGAACAUGAUGCCCAGUAAUACUGCAUGACUAUUCUAAUCAUAUUGAAAAUAGUUUGUUUCAGUUCAAGUUUCAUUCUACUGUACCAGUGUUCAUUAUAUGCAGUUGCUAAAACGUAUAUGGUUUGUCUUGACAUGAUGCAAGCAAUGAUUAUUACAUUGUUAUUCACAAAGAUGAUUAUUGUCUCAAUAAAUAAAGAUGUCCAUAAAACAUGUUGGGAUUAAAAAGGUUUAAACUGUU